UUCGGGGGUACUCGAGCGGCGAACGGGUGAGUAACACGUGAGCAACCUGCCCCUGACUCUGGGAUAAGCCCGGGAAACUGGGUCUAAUACCGGAUAUGACGCACUCUCGCAUGGGAUGUGUGUGGAAAGUUUUUCGGUUGGGGAUGGGCUCGCGGCCUAUCAGCUUGUUGGUGGGGUGAUGGCCUACCAAGGCGACGACGGGUAACCGGCCUGAGAGGGCGACCGGUCACACUGGGACUGAGACACGGCCCAGACUCCUACGGGAGGCAGCAGUGGGGAAUAUUGCGCAAUGGGCGGAAGCCUGACGCAGCGACGCCGCGUGGGGGAUGACGGCCUUCGGGUUGUAAACCUCUUUCAGCAGGGACGAAGCUAACGUGACGGUACCUGCAGAAGAAGCGCCGGCUAACUACGUGCCAGCAGCCGCGGUAAUACGUAGGGCGCAAGCGUUGUCCGGAAUUAUUGGGCGUAAAGAGCUCGUAGGCGGUUUGUCGCGUCUGUCGUGAAAGCCCACGGCUUAACUGUGGGUCUGCGGUGGAUACGGGCAGACUAGAGGCAGGUAGGGGAGAAUGGAAUUCCCGGUGUAGCGGUGAAAUGCGCAGAUAUCGGGAGGAACACCGGUGGCGAAGGCGGUUCUCUGGGCCUGUACUGACGCUGAGGAGCGAAAGCGUGGGGAGCGAACAGGAUUAGAUACCCUGGUAGUCCACGCCGU
rnacentral:rRNA from 1 species